rnacentral:rRNA from 1 species
GAUGAACGCUGGCGGCGUGCCUAAUACAUGCAAGUCGAGCGAACAGAUGAGGAGCUUGCUCCUCUGACGUUAGCGGCGGACGGGUGAGUAACACGUGGAUAACCUACCUAUAAGACUGGGAUAACUUCGGGAAACCGGAGCUAAUACCGGAUAAUAUAUUGAACCGCAUGGUGCAAUAGUGAAAGACGGUUUUGCUGUCACUUAUAGAUGGAUCCGCGCCGCAUUAGCUAGUUGGUAAGGUAACGGCUUACCAAGGCAACGAUGCGUAGCCGACCUGAGAGGGUGAUCGGCCACACUGGAACUGAGACACGGUCCAGACUCCUACGGGAGGCAGCAGUAGGGAAUCUUCCGCAAUGGGCGAAAGCCUGACGGAGCAACGCCGCGUGAGUGAUGAAGGUCUUCGGAUCGUAAAACUCUGUUAUUAGGGAAGAACAAAUGUGUAAGUAACUAUGCACGUCUUGACGGUACCUAAUCAGAAAGCCACGGCUAACUACGUG